GAAGAAAAACUAAGAAAUUUGAGAUAAAUUACUACAAAAAUUUAGAUUGAUUUUUAGCUUUUCUUCCGUACUCUGCUUUUAGCAGUACAAGGCUAUAUCUAUCAUAUGUCUUCUACCUAAUCAACUAAGAAAUAAAUGGAGCACCUUAAUUAGAAGAUUAGUUUUACAAGUUUGGACAAAUCAUAUCCACCCUUUUUUGCUACAUUUCAGGAUUUUUUAUUCAAACUAAAUAUUAAAAUACAUAAACUAAAUUCUUGG
rnacentral:misc_RNA from 1 species